CAGUCGCCGCGGUAAUACGAAGGGUGCAAGCGUUAAUCGGAAUUACUGGGCGUAAAGCGUGCGUAGGCGGUUUGUUAAGUCUGUUGUGAAAUCCCCGGGCUCAACCUGGGAAUGGCAAUGGAUACUGGCAAGCUAGAGUGUGUCAGAGGAUGGUGGAAUUCCCGGUGUAGCGGUGAAAUGCGUAGAGAUCGGGAGGAACAUCAGUGGCGAAGGCGGCCAUCUGGGACAACACUGACGCUGAGGCACGAAAGCGUGGGGAGCAAACAGGAUUAGAGACCCGAGUAGUCCCUGUCUCUUAUAC
rnacentral:rRNA from 1 species